rnacentral:rRNA from 1 species
UCGAGCGGCGAACGGGUGAGUAACACGUGAGUAACCUGCCCCAGGCUUUGGGAUAACCCUCGGAAACGGGGGCUAAUACCGGAUAUUCAUGUUGCGUGGCAUCACGCGGUGUGGAAAGUUUUUCGGCUUGGGAUGGGCUCGCGGCCUAUCAGCUUGUUGGUGGGGUGAUGGCCUACCAAGGCGACGACGGGUAGCCGGCCUGAGAGGGCGACCGGCCACACUGGGACUGAGACACGGCCCAGACUCCUACGGGAGGCAGCAGUGGGGAAUAUUGCACAAUGGGCGGAAGCCUGAUGCAGCGACGCCGCGUGAGGGAUGAAGGCCUUCGGGUUGUAAACCUCUUUCGACAGGGACGAAGCGCAAGUGACGGUACCUGGAGAAGAAGCGCCGGCCAACUACGUGCCAGCAGCCGCGGUAAGACGUAGGGCGCGAGCGUUGUCCGGAUUUAUUGGGCGUAAAGAGCUCGUAGGCGGCUUGUUGCGUCAGCUGUGAAAACCCGCAGCUCAACUGUGGGCUUGCAGCUGAUACGGGCAGGCUUGAGUUCGGUAGGGGAGACUGGAAUUCCUGGUGUAGCGGUGAAAUGCGCAGAUAUCAGGAGGAACACCGGUGGCGAAGGCGGGUCUCUGGGCCGAUACUGACGCUGAGGAGCGAAAGCGUGGGGAGCGAACAGGAUUAGAUACCCUGGUAGUCCACGCUGUAAACGUUGGGCGCUAGGUGUGGGGGGCCUCUCCGGUUCUCUGUGCCGCAGCUAACGCAUUAAGCGCCCCGCCUGGGGAGUACGGCCGCAAGGCUAAAACUCAGAGGAAUUGACGGGGGCCCGCACAAGCGGCGGAGCAUGCGGAUUAAUUCGAUGCAACGCGAAGAACCUUACCUGGGUUUGACAUGUGCGCUAAUCCGGCAGAGAUGUCGGGUCCUUCGGGGGCGUUCACAGGUGGUGCAUGGCUGUCGUCAGCUCGUGUCGUGAGA